UACCAAAAAGGAUACAAUGAGGCCUAGCACU
rnacentral:piRNA from 1 species